UGGGGAAUAUUGCACAAUGGAGGAAACUCUGAUGCAGCGAUGCCGCGUGAGGGAAGAAGGUUUUCGGAUUGUAAACCUCUGUCUUCAGGGACGAAAAUGACGGUACCUGAGGAGGAAGCUCCGGCUAACUACGUGCCAGCAGCCGCGGUAAUACGUAGGGAGCGAGCGUUGUCCGGAAUUACUGGGUGUAAAGGGAGCGUAGGCGGGGCUUUAAGUCAGGUGUGAAAUGUAUGGGCUCAACCCGUAAACUGCACUUGAAACUGAGGCUCUUGAGUGAAGUAGAGGCAGGCGGAAUUCCUAGUGUAGCGGUGAAAUGCGUAGAUAUUAGGAGGAACAUCAGUGGCGAAGGCGGCCUGCUGGGCUUUUACUGACGCUGAGGCUCGAAAGCGUGGGGAGCAAACAGGGAUUAGAUACCCUGGGUAGU
rnacentral:rRNA from 1 species